rnacentral:rRNA from 1 species
CCGCAAGGUUGAAACUCAAAGGAAUUGACGGGGGCCCGCACAAGCGGUGGAGCAUGUGGUUUAAUUCGACGCAACGCGAAGAACCUUACCUAGGCUUGACAUGCUGGAGAAAGCUUGCGGAAACGUGAGCCCCUCUUCGGAGUUCCAGCACAGAUGCUGCAUGGCUGUCGUCAGCUCGUGUCGUGAGAUGUUGGGUUAAGUCCCGCAACGAGCGCAACCCUCACUCUUAGUUACCAGCGGGUAAUGCCGGGGACUCUAGGGGGACUGCCGGUGCCAAACCGGAGGAAGGUGGGGAUGACGUCAAGUCAUCAUGGCUCUUACGUCUAGGGCUACACACGUGCUACAAUGGACCGGACAGAGGGUCGCCAACUCGCGAGAGUGAGCCAAUCCCCAAACCGGUCCUCAGUUCGGAUUGCAGUCUGCAACUCGACUGCAUGAAGCUGGAAUCGCUAGUAAUCGUGGAUCAGCUACGCCACGGUGAAUACGUUCCCGGGCCUUGUACACACCGCCCGUCACGCCAUGGAAGUUGUGAGCGCCCGAAGUCGGUGUCGGAACCCGCAAGGGACCAAGCCGCCUAAGGCGAGCGCAAUGACUGGGGCG